UGCAGCCAGUAGUUAAGAGGCAUCCCCAUCCACAAGACAGAAGAAAGCAAGUAAAAAUGAGAGCAAACAGAAAGUGCCUCAUGAAAGAAACAUCAGGGAACUUUCUUCUUUGCCUCUUCAAAAUACAUGGGGUCUCACUCUGUCACCCAGGCUGGAGUGCAGUGGCAUGAUCAUUGAAGCUCACUGCAACAUCAAACACCUAGGCUCAAGGAUCCUCCUGCCUCAGCCUCCUAAGCAGUUAGGACUACAGGUUUCGGUCCCAGAGGUAAAGAGAAAGGGAAGUCCACACUCUGGGUUCAUGACCUUGAAGUUGAGCAAGCUAUACUAAGAGAAGUAUAUUUUUAUCUGAGUAAGUACACUCAGAUACUAUUGUCCCCCUCCUCCUGCCAUUCCUCAAACAUGCCACACCUUGCCCCAGUGGACAAUGAGUACUGGCAUCGUACUGCAGGCACAGACUGAAGUUUAACUGUGGGCCCUCAAGCAAAAUGUAUGAAAAUGUAUAAAUGUACUUUGUAAGCUGCAUGGUGUGCCAGGACCUAAGCUCUGUCAUACCAGGCACUAUGUUAGUCAGCAUGAUCCUUGCUUCAACAAGUUCUCGGUCCAGAGAAAAACAGACUGACACAUUUGUGAUACAGUAUAUUAAAUGCCACAAUGGAGAGAUGAACCAAGUGCUGUGGGAGCACCCACUGUCUGGGCUUAGACCUGGAAGAGGAGGUGGAGAGAUCAGCAAUGGAUUCACAACUGAUGUUAGCCACAGCUGUGGGCAGGCUCCUGGGAGGUGCUGGGAGGAUUUAGGAUUAGUUAACACUACAUAUAAACAGUACGUAUUUCUAUUACAACACACGUGUUCAAGGUAGAAAAUUCAAGCUUAAAUAAGCCAACUGAAAAGUCUCUUUGCUAUCUCUACUCUGCAGAAGUAUUAUCAACAGUCUGCUAUAUAUCACUGCAGAGAUUCCUGAAAGUCAUUCAAAAUAAACAGUAACAUGCUUACAUAAAUUACUACAUCUUGACUGUCACUUAACUUACCUCAGAAAUCUUGCCAACACAUCCAGAUCUACCUCUAUUUUGUUAAGGCUGUAUAGUAUUCCACUGUGUGUGUAAGACUUGGCUGCAAUGCAAGCAGCUUUGCCUUUGUACUGGACUGGAAUGGACUGGAGCCAGACAUUCUCUCCACCCCUGGCCUUUUCAGCUGGCAGAGCUUCUGAGUUUCAGGACAGGGAACAAUCAGUGUCACAUGCCCAGCAGGCACAUAAAUAUUUGCUGCCAAAUCUCCAGUGCUCCCCAGACCCAUAUUUUCAUGUAAAACCUCUUUUCUCUUGCCUGGACUACACUGCAGUGGACUCCUCACUGGCCUCCAGCCCAUCCUCCACAAUGCUGCCAGAAUCAUCUUCUGAACAUGAAAAUUCAUCUACAGUAUUCUGCUGAAAAUCCUUCAGUGGUUCGUAUCGGCCUGAUUCUUUUUUGGAGGGUCAGUGCCCCUUUUGAGAAUCUCAGGAGCACAAUGGACUCCUUCCCCAAAAGGGAAAAAUUACUUCAUGCCUGAAAGUCAGCCCCUGCCCUCAGAAUAACAUAUGAACUGCUAAGCUUGGCACUGGCUUUCACUACUGGCCCUGGCCUCUCUCCAGCCUUCUCACCGUUUGCAUUUCAUAUCUUCCUGCUUCAGUCAUAUUGAAUUAUUUGCAGCUUCCUCUACACUUCCUGCUGUUUCCUGCCUUUGUGACUUUGCAUAGGCUGUUCCCUCUGCCUGGAAUGCCCUGCCCAGUUUUAGCCACCUGACAAGUUACAUUCUUUCUUGUACUAAACUGAAGCAUCAUCUCUUCUGUAGUCUACUGAACCACUCCGGGAAGAUCCGGGCAUUUAUGCUUUCCUCACCUUGUUCUAAAACCUCCAAUACAGGGCUUUAUUGUACUGUAAUUGUCAGUUCUCCCGAGAGACUGAGUUCCUUGAAGGAUGGAACUGACUUUUCAAAUCUGUAGCCUCAUAUGCAGCAUGGGACCUAUCUUAAUUCAUCAGCGCUUAGUUAUGGAAUGAACAGAGGACCAGCCCAACUGCCACCAACACAUCUUUCCUAAUCUACCCCUACGGGAAUGUCUCGCAUCUACAGGUAAUUCCAGAAUGACACACAGUGUUUCCUAAACCUUAGUCAUUGAAAUAGCACGUUCACAACUGUUACAAUAUCUGUCAUCCACAGGUACAAUUUAUUUUUUAAGCUAAUCACUAUUUGAACUUCAAUAUUGCCUCACUGUAAGCUGUAGUAACUGUAAAAUGAUGUAUUGUGCUAAUUCUGUAUUUUUCCUAAGAUCCAAAUAUUAAAAUAAAAGACAGUCACCCCAGCACUAA